AAUCUGGGGUCCCCGACCUCCGAGUUGUAAUUUGGAGAGGCAUCUUCGGGGGGGAGCGCCGGCCCAUGUUCCUUGGAACAGGACGUCGCAGAGGGUGAGAAUCCCGUGCCAGGCCGGCUGCCUCCUCCCGGGUGAAGGGCCUUCGACGAGUCGAGUUGUUUGGGAAUGCAGCUCCAAGUGGGUGGUAAAUUUCAUCUAAAGCUAAAUACCGGCGGGAGACCGAUAGCGCACAAGUAGAGUGAUCGAAAGAUGAAAAGCACUUUGAAAAUAGAGUCAAAAAGUACGUGAAAUUGUUGAAAGGGAAGCGCUUGAGACCAGACUCAGGCCCUGGCAAACAUCGCGCCCCUCGGGGCCGUGCAAUUGCCCGGGCCUGGGCCAGCAUCAGUUGGCGUGGCGGGACAAAGGCGCGGGGAAUGUGGCUCCCCUCGGGGAGUGUUAUUAGGCCCGUGCUGGAUGCCGCCGACGCCGACUGAGGACCGCGCCUCGGCUAGGAUGCUGGCUCAAUGGCCUUCAGCGACCCGUCUUGAAACACGGACCAAGGAGUCUAACAUCUAUGCGAGUGUUUGGGCGCCAAACCCUUGCGCGGAAUGAAAGUGAGCGGAGGUGGGAACCCCCCUGCGGGGCGCACCAUCGACCGAUCCUGAUGUCUUCGGAUGGAUUUGAGUA
rnacentral:rRNA from 1 species